UCUUGAUUGGACAGACGUCAAUUAGACCAGCACUCAGGGGCAGGCGGGGUGCUGAAGGCACUCGGGCACCCGGGCCAGCUGAGCCACGGGGCACAGGGGCAGGACGCUCAGAACUGUCACGAUGAUGAUAUUAAUAAGUGCAAACUGUUGUGUGUUAACUGAGGUUGGGCGACUUGGAGAGAAGGAAGAAGAGGACAAGGAGCACUGAUGAAGGGGACCUGUUGACCUCAAGGGUGGCCCAGGAGGCCCCUGGACACGUUCACAGUUGGGAAAGGCCUGAGGAGCUGGGGCAGGGUGCUCAUUGGCUACCUCUGGGAAGGGAGAGAGGGAGAGGAAAGAGCAGGUGCAAAGGCCCUGAGGCCGUGGAGUGCCCAGUGUGUUCUGGGAGCAGGAGGCUAGCGUGCUUGAAGGGAGCCAGCACACAGGCAGGGGACAUGGGAAUAGCAGCCACCCCAGACCUGGGGACAACCAGGACCUUGUCUUUCUGGGCUACCUGGGAGCCUCAGGAAGAUGCUGAGCAGAGGAGGGGUGGGACCUGACUUCCUUCAGGUAGUAAGAAGGUGGCUGGCGGAGGCAGCACCGGGAGAGCUGCGGUGGAGCCCGCGGCUGUGUGGUCCUGGAAGGGGUGGGGGGCGGGCUGGAGAAGCAGGACGUGAGGCUUUGGGCCGGGCCUGGAAGGACAGAGGCGCCAUUUUUGAGGCCAAGGGGACUGUGGGGGAGUGAGGGGCUCUGCCUCUCCCCAGUCCCCCACCCAGCACAUUCCCCUGUGGCUGGACAUUCCAGCCCGAGUUCUAGGCAGACGUGCAGCAGGACCGAGUGUCUGACGUUCUUGGUGGACGCGGUAUUCAGAGCCUCUAUUUCUCUAUGAGUAAAGGGGGCCCAUGUGGCCUCUGUCUGCAAGGUGCUAUGAAGCUGGAUUAAGCAUGAGAGGCCCCAGGCAGGGCCCAUAGCAGGUGAGGAAGGGGACAUUCAGAGUGAUUAAGUAACUGAUCCAAAGUCACACAGCUUGGACGCAUCCUGGCCAGGAUUCCUGAGCUGAAUCUGGAGUCCUGCUGUUGGCCUUCUACCCUGCUGCCUGCUCCCAGCACCUGGCCCUGCAGUCCUGAACUGACCAGCCGCCGUCAGGUGGGGAGUAGACCAUGAAACGGAAAUCGCUCCAGGCCCGACCAGACCUGCUCCACUGGGGCCCAAACCAGGCUCGGCCUGUGGUUGGGGAACAUGACGAUGCCGGAUACCCGAGUCACACCAGGUCUCCCCUCCACCAGCCACGUGACCUGGAGGGGUAAGGCAUACCCGUGCCUCGGUUUCCCCACUUGUAAGGGGAGAUGAUGGGGUUUUGGGAGGACUGAUGGUGUGGCCAGGCAGAGUGCCUACAACCAGGCCAGGAACUCAGUCGGUGUCUAAUAAAUGCAGGCUGCUGCUGCUGCUGUC